GGGACAAAAAAAAGGGUCAAAUAAUGCUAUUACUAGUGACAGACCCGCGCGAUGCUGCGAAUAUAAAAAUAUUUUAAUAAUAAAUUUUGAUUUAUAUUUAUAUAUAUUUUAUAUAGUUUUAUAAGUCUAAUUAUUGAUUAAGUAAAAGUUAUAUUUAAAAUAAUUUAAUAAUUAAAUAUGUUUAAAGAAAAAUAAUUAAAACUGGUAUAUGUGCAAUAUAAAUUUAUAUAACAGUUUAUUAAUAAUUAAAUUAUUUUGUAAAGAUUUAUGUGAAAAAGAUUUGAGAUAAAUCUAUUCAAAUAAUUUAAAUAAAUCAGUAAAUAAAAGAAAAAUAAAUAGUAGAAGAAAUUGUUUAUAAAACUAUAUUUAUAUAUAUACAGAGAGACACACACUAUAUUUAUAAAUUGUUAUUCCAGAAAUUUAAAUUUUGUAUUUUUUCAUAUGUCGCCAUUUUUCAUGAUUUUGAUUGUAUCUACCAGAAUAGAUUUUAUUACGCAAUUUAUUAUGCGUAUUAUUAAUACAAUUAAUUAAUUAUAUAGGGUUUAAGCGUUUAAAUUUUGAAGUUUGAAAUUUAGAAAUAAAUAUUAUAAAAUCUAAAAUCUGGAGCUUAAAAUUUGAAAUUAUAAACUUUAAAAUUGUUAUAUUUGGUUUAGAUUUGUAGUUAUCUAAAUUGGAGUUAAAUCCUAAUCUAAUUAGGAUUAUAUAUAAUUUAGAUUUAAUUUGGCAUAUAUGGAUUAUAAUUAGGAGUAUAAUUCUAAUUGAAUUAGAAUUAGACUCUAAUUAGGAGACAUGUAUUAUAUAUACAUGCUAUGGCCAAGUUAAUGACGCCGCGACCAAAAUUAAGGCCAUGCAACCCUCUAAUUAAUUAGCCAAACG
rnacentral:lncRNA from 1 species